AGUGAACGCUGGCGGUAGGCCUAACACAUGCAAGUCGAACGGCAGCACAGUAAGAGCUUGCUCUUACGGGUGGCGAGUGGCGGACGGGUGAGGAAUACAUCGGAAUCUACUUUUUCGUGGGGGAUAACGUAGGGAAACUUACGCUAAUACCGCAUACGACCUACGGGUGAAAGCAGGGGAUCUUCGGACCUUGCGCGAUUCAAUGAGCCGAUGUCGGAUUAGCUAGUUGGCGGGGUAAAGGCCCACCAAGGCGACGAUCCGUAGCUGGUCUGAGAGGAUGAUCAGCCACACUGGAACUGAGACACGGUCCAGACUCCUACGGGAGGCAGCAGUGGGGAAUAUUGGACAAUGGGCGCAAGCCUGAUCCAGCCAUACCGCGUGGGUGAAGAAGGCCUUCGGGUUGUAAAGCCCUUUUGUUGGGAAAGAAAAGCAGCAGGUUAAUACCCCGCUGUUCUGACGGUACCGAAAGAAUAAGCACCGGCUAACUUCGUG
rnacentral:rRNA from 1 species